rnacentral:lncRNA from 1 species
CUUCCCUUUAUCCCGGUUGCAUUGCCACAACAGGCUUGUUCAGGGAGCACAUUCCUUUGUUCAGGCUUCUAUUCCCUCCGUUCCAGAAGUACAUUACCAAGGGCUUUGUAUCUGAAGAUGAGGCUGGAAAAAGGCUUGCUCAGGUAAAUUAAAGAAGUGAAAACAAAUGAAAAUAAUAUAUAUAUAUAUAUAUAUAUAUAUAUAUAUAUAUGAAUUCCAUUUUCACACAUUAUGCAGUAACAUUACCUGUUCUUUUUCACUUCAGGUCGUUAGUGAGCCAAGCUUGACAAAAUCAGGUGUGUACUGGAGCUGGAAUAAGGAUUCAGCUUC